UACGGGGUGCAGCAGGCGCGAAAACUUUACAAUGCCGGCAACGGCGAUAAGGGAACCUCGAGUGCCAGGUUACAAAUCUGGCUGUCGUGAUGCCUAAAAAGCAUUGCAUAGCAAGGGCCGGGCAAGACCGGUGCCAGCCGCCGCGGUAACACCGGCGGCUCGAGUGGUAACCGUUAUUAUUGGGUCUAAAGGGUCUGUAGCCGGCCGGAUAAGUCUCUUGAGAAAUCUGGCAGCUUAACUGUCAGGCUUUCAGGAGAUACUGUCUGGCUCGAGGCCGGGAGAGGUGAGAGGUACUUCAGGGGUAGGGGUGAAAUCUUGUAAUCCUUGAAGGACCACCAGUGGCGAAGGCGUCUCACCAGAACGGACCUGACGGCAAGGGACGAAAGCUAGGGGCACGAACCGGAUUAGAUACCCGGGUAGUCCUAGCCGUAAACGAUACUCGCUAGGUGUCGGCCACGGUGCGACCGUUGUCGGUGCCGUAGGGAAGCCGUGAAGCGAGCCACCUGGGAAGUACGGCCGCAAGGCUGAAACUUAAAGGAAUUGGCGGGGGAGCACCACAACGGGUGGAGCUUGCGGUUUAAUUGGAUUCAACGCCGGAAAUCUUACCGGGACCGACAGCAAUAUGAAGGCCAGGCUGAAGACUUUGCCGGAUUAGCUGAGAGGUGGUGCAUGGCCGUCGUCAGUUCGUACUGUGAAGCAUCCUGUUAAGUCAGGCAACG
rnacentral:rRNA from 1 species